GGAGGAUUAGUACCCAUGCGGGACAAUAUGAAAAAGUAAUGCUAUCCCUUUUAUUCAGAAAACCAGUGGAUUAAGUAAAAAUAAAUAAAUAAGUAAAUAAAAGUUGUAUUUGAGAAGCAUAGAAUGGCCUGGGUUGAAAAGAACCACAAUGACCAUCUGUUCCAACCCCCUGCUAUGUGCAGGGUCACCAACCACCAGACCAGGCUGCCCAGAGCCACAUCCAGCCUGGCCUUGAAUGCCUCCAGGGAUGGGGCAUCCACAGCCUCCUUGGGCAACCUGUUCAGUGCAUCACCACCCUCUGGGUGAAAAACUUCCUUCUAAUAUCUAACCUAAACCUCCC
ensembl:lncRNA